rnacentral:rRNA from 1 species
ACGUUCGAUCCUGGCUCAGAUGAACGCUGUCGCAUGCUUUAACACCUGCAAGUCGAACGGAAGUGGUGUUUCCAGUGGCGAACGGGUGAGUAACUGCGUAAGAAACCUUCCCUUGGGAGGGGAACAACAACUGGAAAGCGGUUGCUAAUACCCCGUGAAGGCUGAGGAGACAAAAGGAGAAAUCCGCCCAAUAGGGUUCGCGUCUGAUUGCUAGUUGGUGAGGCAUAGCUUACCAAGGCGAAUGAUCAGUAGCUGGUCCGAGAGAUGAUCAGCCACACUGGGACUGAUACCGGCCCAGACUCCUACUGUGAGGCAGUCAGUGGGAAUUUUCGCAUGGCGAAAGCUGACGGAGCAUGCCGCGUGGAGGUGGAAGGCCUACUGGUCGUCACUUCUUUCUCGGGAAGAAACAAUGCGUAAUCUGAGGACUAAGCAUCGGCUAACCUCUGUGCCAGCAGCGCGGGUAAGAACAGAGGAUUCAAGCGUUAAUAUCCGGAAUGGAUGGGCGUAACCGUCUGUGUAUGGGCUUUUCAAGUCCGCCGUCAAAUCCAGGGCUCAACCCUGGACAGGCGGUGGAAACUACCAAGCUGGAGUAAACUGUAGGGGCAAUGGAAUUGCCGGUGGAGUCGGUGAAAAUGCAUUGAGAUCGUAAAGAACACCAACGGCGAAAGCACUCUUCUUGGGCCGACACUGACCCUGAGAGAUCGAAAGCUAUGGGGAGGCAAAUGGUUAAGACCCCAGUAGUCCUAGCCUUAAACGUGGAAUAACUAGGUGCUGUGCGCCUCGACCCGUUGCAGUGCUGUAGCUAACGCUUAAGUAUCCCGCCUGGGGAGUCUUCGCAAGAAUGAACUCAGGAAAUGAACGGGUGGCCCUCACAGCGGUGGAGUCAUGUGGUUUAAGUUCGAUGCAAAGCGCAGAACCUUACCAUGGCUUUGACAUGCCGCGAAUCACUUGAAAGAGAGGGGUGCCCCUCUGGGAACGCGGACACAGGUGGUGCAUGGCUGUCGUCAGCGUCGGCCCGUAAGGGUUGGUUAAAGUCUCCGCAACGAGCGCAACCCCUCUGUUUUAUAGUUGCCACUAUUAGUUUGGAAACCAGGACCAGAACCCGCCGGUGUUAAGCCGGAGGAAGGGAGGAUGAGGCCAAGUCAUCAUGCCCUCUAUCCCUGGGCGAGACACACUGCUACAAUGUGCGGGACAGGGUCGCGAUCUCGCGAGGGUGAUGCUAACUCAAAACCCGUCCUCAGUUCGAUUGCAGCUGCAACUAGCCUGCAUAAUCAGGAAUCCGCUAGUAAUCGCCGGUCAUCCAUACGUCGGUGAAUCCGUUCCCGGGCCUUGUAACACAACACCUCCCGUCAACACUAUAGGAGCCUGGCCAGGUUUGAAGUCAUUAUCCCUUAACCGUAAGGGAGGGGAUGCCUAAGCUAGUCUUGCGACUGGAGUGAAGGUCGUAACAUGGUACCGGAACUGGAAAUGCGGCUG